GGGCGAUUGGCUCAGUUGGUUAGAGCACUUGGAUCACACCCAAGGGGUCGCAGGUUCGAGUCCUGCAUCGCCCA
rnacentral:tRNA from 1 species